GAUGAACGCUGGCGGCGUGCCUAAUACAUGCAAGUCGAGCGAACGGACGAGAAGCUUGCUUCUCUGAUGUUAGCGGCGGACGGGUGUGUAACACGUGGAUAACCUACUUAUCAGACUGGGAUCACUUCGGGAAACCGGAGCUAAUACCGUAUAAUAUUUUGAACCGCAUGGUUCAAUAGUGAAAGUCGGUCUUGCUGUCACUUAUCGAUGGAUCCGCGCUUCAUUAUCUAGUUGGUAUGGUAACGGCUUACCAAGGCAACGAUGCAUAGCCGACCUUUGAGGGGGUUGCGGCACUCUGGAGCUGAGCCACCGUCCAGGCUCCGACGGGCGGCAGCGGUUGGGACUCUUCGCAAAUGGGCGAAAGCCUGACGGAGCAGCGGCACGUGAGUGCUGAAGGUCUUCGGAUCGGAAAACUCUGUUAUGAGGGAAGAACGUAUGUGUAAGUGACUGUGCAUAAGUUGACGUUACCGAAUCAGAAAGCCACGGCUAACUACGG
rnacentral:rRNA from 1 species